UAGCGGCGGACGGGUGAGUAACACGUGGGCAACCUGCCUGUCAGACUGGGAUAACUUCGGGAAAGCGAAGCUAAUACGGGAUAGGAUCCUCUCCGGCAUGAGAGAUGAUUGAAAGAUGGUUUCGGCUAUCACUUACAGAUGGGCCCGCGGUGCAUUAGCUAGUUGGUGAGGUAACGGCUCACCAAGGCAACGAUGCAUAGCCGACCUGAGAGGGUGAUCGGCCACACUAGGACUGAGACACGGUCCAGACUCCUACGGGAGGCAGCAGUAGGGAAUCUUCCGCAAUGGACGAAAGUCUGACGGAGCAACGCCGCGUGAGUGAUGAAGGCUUUCGGGUCGUAAAACUCUGUUGUUAGGGAAGAACAAGUACGAGAGUAACUGCUCGUACCUUGACGGUACCUAACCAGAAAGCCACGGCUAACUACGUGCCAGCAGCCGCGGUAAUACGUAGGUGGCAAGCGUUAUCCGGAAUUAUUGGGCGUACAGCGCGCGCAGGCGGUUUCUUAAGUCUGAUGUGAAAGC
rnacentral:rRNA from 1 species